GCUACGGGAGGCAGCAGUGAGGAAUAUUGGUCAAUGGACGCAAGUCUGAACCAGCCAUGCCGCGUGUAGGUCGAUGGCCCUAUGAGUUGUAAACUGCUUUUGUACGAGGGUAAACGCAGAUACGCGUAUCUGUCUGAAAGUAUCGUACGAAUAAGGAUCGGCUAACUCCGUGCCAGCAGCCGCGUUAAUACGGAGGAUUCAAGCGUUAUCCGGAUUUAUUGGGUUUAAAGGGUGCGUAGCCGGUCGGAUAAGUUAGAGGUGAAAGCCCGAGGCCCAAGUUCGGAAUUGCCUUUGAUACUGUGCGGCUAGAGAGUAGUUGCGGUAGGAGGAAUGUAUGGUGUAGCGGUGAAAUGCUUAGAGAUCAUACAGAACACCGAUUGCGAAGGCAGCUUACCAAGCUACUUCUGACGUUGAGGCACGAAAGCGUGGGGAGCAAACAGGAUUAGAUACCCCUGUAGUC
rnacentral:rRNA from 1 species